AGAGUUUGAUCCUGGCUCAGAUUGAACGCUGGCGGCAUGCCUUACACAUGCAAGUCGAACGGCAGCACGGAGCUUGCUCUGGUGGCGAGUGGCGAACGGGUGAGUAAUAUAUCGGAACGUACCCUGGAGUGGGGGAUAACGUAGCGAAAGUUACGCUAAUACCGCAUACGAUCUCAGGAUGAAAGCGGGGGACCGCAAGGCCUUGUGCUCCUGGAGCGGCCGAUAUCUGAUUAGCUAGUUGGUGGGGUAAAGGCCUACCAAGGCAUCGAUCAGUAGCUGGUCUGAGAGGACGACCAGCCACACUGGAACUGAGACACGGUCCAGACUCCUACGGGAGGCAGCAGUGGGGAAUUUUGGACAAUGGGCGCAAGCCUGAUCCAGCAAUGCCGCGUGAGUGAAGAAGGCCUUCGGGUUGUAAAGCUCUUUUGUCAGGGAAGAAAAGGGAUUGGCUAAUAUCUGGUCCUCAUGACGGUACCUGAAGAAUAAGCACCGGCUAACUACGUGCCAGCAGCCGCGGUAAU
rnacentral:rRNA from 1 species